UACGUAGGGGGCUAGCGUUGUCCGGAAUCACUGGGCGUAAAGGGCGCGUAGGCGGCUCAUGAAGGCUGUGGUGAAAGUCCGGGGCUCAACCUCGGAUCGGCCGUGGCGACUCGUGGGCUGGAGCACUGUAGAGGCGGGUGGAAUUCCGGGUGUAGCGGUGGAAUGCGUAGAGAUCCGGAAGAACACCAGUGGCGAAGGCGGCCCGCUGGGCAGUGGCUGACGCUGAGGCGCGACAGCGUGGGGAGCAAACAGG
rnacentral:rRNA from 1 species